CAGAUGAAGAUGUAGAACUCUUGGCUCCUCCUGCAUCAUGCCUGCCUGGAUGAUACCAUGCUCCCACCUUGCUGAUACUGAACUGAACCUCUAGACUACACAUCAUUGACCUUUCUAGGAGACAGUCUUCUAGUUGAAUGGACAUGAAGGGCUCAGGGAAAACCAACAAGAAGGAAGAUUGUUCCAUCCAAGGUCGUGUGUUCGGUUUCAGCCUUCCAUGAGAAGCAGAGACAGGCCAAUGAAGGGGACCAGAAGAAAGGACCAAAGAGAGAUACCACUACUCGGAUGACAUAGUCAACUUGAGAGAAAGAAAGCAACCUUGAAGUUGAUUUGAGCAAGCAGGAGCACUAUGCUUCACAGACCACCAGUGCCUGGGAUGGGUGCCCUUCCAUUUGCUAUUCAAGCAUUAAGUUGAAGGCUUUUCACCUCAGCAAAUGAGACAGUGAUGAGUGAAGAGAAAUCUGUCUGUGUAGUUUACAGGAAUGAAAUAUGGAAGCUGACAUUUUUUUUUUACUUUCAUAAUCUCUGCAAAUGAGUCAAAUCCAUAGUCAGAGAUGUGUUACUCUGCAUCAGUUCUCACCUUGUAGGACUGGUAUCAAGUUCAGAGAGAAAUCGAACAGGAGCUAGAGUGUCUGGAAUUCCAUGGGAUGCACUUGUUGCUUCCACUCUUAGGUGAUCCAAGAAUCACCAUAGGGUGUAAGACUGCCUUUUACAUUGGCAUGGAUGGCAUUGAUUCCCAGGCAGCUGAUGUCCUCACAAUAAA